rnacentral:piRNA from 1 species
UACAAACUGACUAACCUUGGGUAAGUUGGU